rnacentral:rRNA from 1 species
AUUGAACGCUGGCGGAAUGCUUUACACAUGCAAGUCGAACGGCAGCACGGACUUCGGUCUGGUGGCGAGUGGCGAACGGGUGAGUAAUGUAUCGGAACGUGCCCAGUCGUGGGGGAUAACGUAGUGAAAAUUACGCUAAUACCGCAUACGAUCUAUGGAUGAAAGCGGGGGAUCGCAAGACCUCGCGCGAUUGGAGCGGCCGAUAUCAGAUUAGGUAGUUGGUGGGGUAAGGGCCCACCAAGCCAACGAUCUGUAGCUGGUCUGAGAGGACGACCAGCCACACUGGAACUGAGACACGGUCCAGACUCCUACGGGAGGCAGCAGUGGGGAAUUUUGGACAAUGGGCGAAAGCCUGACCCAGCCAUUCCGCGUGCAGGAUGAAGGCCCUCGGGUUGUAAACUGCUUUUGUACAGAACGAAAAGGUUUCUACUAAUACUAGGAGCUCAUGACGGUACUGUAAGAAUAAGCACCGGCUAACUACGUGCCAGCAGCCGCAGUAA